rnacentral:rRNA from 1 species
GCAGUAGCCGCGGUAAAACGUAGGUCCCGAGCGUUGUCCGGAUUUAUUGGGCGUAAAGGGAGCGCAGGCGGUUUAGUAAGUCUGAAGUUAAAGGCAUUGGCUCAACCAAUGUAUGCUUUGGAAACUGUUAGACUUGAGUGCAGAAGGGGAGAGUGGAAUUCCAUGUGUAGCGGUGAAAUGCGUAGAUAUAUGGAGGAACACCGGUGGCGAAAGCGGCUCUCUGGUCUGUCACUGACGCUGAGGCUCGAAAGCGUGGGUAGCGAACAGGAUUAGAUACCCGCGUAGUCCCUGUCUCUUAUACA